UACUACUACUACUACUACUACUACUAUUUCUUCUUCUUCAUCUUCUUCUUCUUCUUCUUCUUCUUCUUCUUCUUCUUCUUCUUCUUCUUCUUCUUCUUCUUUUGUGGAGGAGGAGUAGGAGGAGGAGUGGAGGAAAAUAAGUGUCUUGUCCCUGUCUUGUUGUGUCUGUCCGUCGGUCUGUCUGUUUGUUUCAUCAUCACUGAUACGCGGAUCGAUGCAGUGUGUGUGUGUGUGUGUGUGUGUGUGUGUGUGUUAUGGUAGCUUUCGUGCCACAUUUUGCGUUGCUGAAUCUUAAAUAUAUCAUUAUCUGAACACAUUUCCCUGUCGAUAAUAAUAAUCAGUCAGUGAAUCACCAAUUAUCGUACGCAAACACCACUUCAAGCAGCCAGACAGUCAAACGUGAUAAGAUAGAUACUGCGAAUGAUCAAACAGAUUCUAGAAACGGAUGAAGCAUUUUGAAACGUGAGCAAAUGUUGUCACAUCCGGGAGUGGCUUUCUGGCUGGCUGACUGACUGGCUGGCUGGCUGGCUGACUGAUAAGCGGUAUCACAUAACCUCUCAAGGAAAAUCAUCGUUUAUCUCUGAAUGGUGAACACAACACACUUGACACACUCACCAUGCAGCACUCAUUCACUGUGUAACUCUCGCACCGCACGCACACAUACGCACACAAACACACGUACGCACAACAAACCCCUGCACACUCAUGGACUCACGCACGCUUGAAACCCUCACGCAUUCGACGGCAAGGCUUCAAAGAGCUUCGAAACACACACACACACACACACACACACAUACAUACACUCGAAAUGGAAGCCCCGGAAUCUGUUUCGAAGCGGCAAUGUGAAGUGCUUUGAUGCCUCGAGUUGUUGCGGCUGUGAGGAAACUGCGGAGUGUGCCUGAGGAAGGUGUGGCGUGUGCUCUUGGCGUGCUGAGGUGGGCGUGAGUAGCGGGUCUUCGGCGUUCUCAAGCUGACUAGGUGCUGAGUGUAAGCUGGCGAGGAUCUAAGCGGAAAGAAGAUAGAUACGAUAUUUGUUCUGCAGCACGUAUACAAACAGAAAACUGAGAAAUUGACAGCGAAAAAUAACAAAACAGAAUAACGACAAUGAAAAUAUAAUAGUAAUGCAAUAAUACUCGUAAUAUUAUCACUAGUGUCUUCCCAGGAAAAAGGACAAUGUAUGCUUUCUUUUACACGUACAGACUGAAAACUGAGAGUGAACACAAUAACACGAACGAACAAUGAACGCUCUUAGUGAUCUGCUGGAAAAAAUUAAAGGAUAUAUGAUAUGUGUGUUGUUCUGCCCGUGGGUUGAAACUGGAAACUGAGCGGAGGUUAAAGUCAGAAACAGAGAAGCAGAGUGAAUACAACGAAGAGAAGGCAAAUGAAAGUUUAAUCCCGCAGCAGACUGAUGGAUUGAUAACCUACGAACACAAGCAGAGCAAAUGAUAAAAAAAAAAAAAAAAAAACUAAAGAAGAGAAGUA